rnacentral:lncRNA from 1 species
CCUUGUCAUGACCUCUGUAGCACCUAUGGCAAAAAUGGAGGGGUAGCUCUCCAAAGGAGGCCUCCUGCCCUGUGGCCAGAGGUACCCCUACAGGGACCUGGGAGAGUCCCAGGACCCUCGCAGAAACUGCUGGGUGUGGCCCAUUUUGGAACCAUCUGAUUCCACAGUUUUCGCAGACUCCAGGGGCCAUAAUGAAUUCUUAACCCUGAUCUCAGUGAGGCCACGUACAUUUGGUAGGCUAGAAUGUUUCCUUUUUCAUUUUUAUUGAAUUUGUAUAUUUUUGAGAGGAUUCUAGAUUCACAGGCAGCUGUACAGUAUAAUGCAGAGAAGUCCUUGAACCCCUACCCAGGUUCCCCCAUAUCUUGCAAAAUACAGUAGAAUAUCACAGCCUGGAUGUUGAUGUCCUUACAGGCAAGACAGGAACUGCUCUCGCCACCACGGGGAUCCCUCAUAUUGCCCGUGUGCGGCCACACCUGCUCCUCUCCCAUCCCACCUGCUCUUUAACCCUCGUGUUGUGGUGUGGAUGUGAGGUGUCCCCUGCAAAGCUGUGUUAGACAGUGCAGGAGUGUCCAGUGGGGAAAUGAUUAUGAGAGCUGCAGCCACUUGGGUGGAUUAAUCCAUUUGAUGGAUUAAUAAUGUGAAUGGACUCCUGGGUAGUAACUGUAGGCAAGUGGGG